rnacentral:rRNA from 1 species
UGACCAAUCUGCCUUCGAGAGGGGGAUAACCUGGGGAAACCCGGGCUAAUACCGCAUGAAGUGUCGUGCUCGCAUGGGCGUGACACCAAAGGGAGGCCUCUAUUUAUAAGCUUCCGCUUGAAGAGGAGGUCGCGGCGUAUCAGCUAGUUGGUAGGGUAACGGCCUACCAAGGCUACGACGCGUAGCGGGUCUGAGAGGACGACCCGUCACAUUGGGACUGAGACACGGUCCAGACCUNUACGGGAG